GACAGAGGGUGCAAACGUUGUUCGGAAUUACUGGGCGUAAAGCGCGUGUAGGUGGCGAGGCAAGUCGGGUGUGAAAGCCCUGGGCUCAACUUCGAGCUGUCGGUGGAAACUGUCUGGCUAGAGUCCGGAAGAGGAGAAUGGAAUUCCUGGUGUAGCGGUGAAAUGCGCAGAUAUCAGGAGGAACACCAAUGGCGAAGGCAGCUCGCUGGGACGUGACUGACGCUGAGACGCGAAAGCCAGGGAGCGAACGGG
rnacentral:rRNA from 1 species